rnacentral:rRNA from 1 species
AUUGAACGCUGGCGGCAGGCCUAACACAUGCAAGUCGAGCGGAUGACGGGAGCUUGCUCCUUGAUUCAGCGGCGGACGGGUGAGUAAUGCCUAGGAAUCUGCCUGGUAGUGGGGGACAACGGUUCGCAAGGAACGCUAAUACCGCAUACGUUCUACGAGAGAAAGAAGGGGACCUUCGGGCCUUGCGCUAUCAGGUGAGCCUAGGUCGGAUUAGCUAGUAGGUGAGGUAAUGGCUCACCUAGGCGACGAUCCGUAACUGGUCUGAGGGGAUGAUCAGUCACACUGGAACUAAGACACGGUCCAGAUUCCUACGGGAGGCAGCAGUGGGGAAUAUUGGACAAUGGGCGAAAGCCUGAUCCAGCCAUGCCGCGUGUGUGAAGAAGGUCUUCGGAUUGUAAAGCACUUUAAGUUGGGAGGAAGGGCAGUAAGCUAAUACCUUGCUGUUUUGACGUUACCGACAGAAUAAGCACCGGCUAACUCUGUGCCAGCAGCCGCCGUAAUAC